rnacentral:rRNA from 1 species
GAUGAACGCUGGCGGCGUGCCUAAUACAUGCAAGUCGAGCGAACAGAUAAGGAGCUUGCUCCUUUGAAGUUAGCGGCGGACGGGUGAGUAACACGUGGGUAACCUACCUAUAAGACUGGGAUAACUUCGGGAAACCGGAGCUAAUACCGGAUAACAUUUAGAACCGCAUGGUUCUAAAGUGAAAGAUGGUUUUGCUGUCACUUAUAGAUGGACCCGCGCCGUAUUAGCUAGUUGGUAAGGUAACGGCUUACCAAGGCGACGAUACGUAGCCGACCUGAGAGGGUGAUCGGCCACACUGGAACUGAGACACGGUCCAGACUCCUACGGGAGGCAGCAGUAGGGAAUCUUCCGCAAUGGGCGAAAGCCUGACGGAGCAACGCCGCGUGAGUGAUGAAGGGUUUCGGCUCGUAAAACUCUGUUAUUAGGGAAGAACAAAUGUGUAAGUAACUGUGCACAUCUUGACGGUACCUAAUCAGAAAGCCACGGCUAACUACGUGCCAGCAGCCGCGGUAAUACGUAGGUGGCAAGCGUUAUCCGGAAUUAUUGGGCGUAAAGCGCGCGUAGGCGGUUUCUUAGUCUGAUGUGAAAGCCCACGGCUCAACCGUGGAGGGUCAUUGGAAACUGGGAAACUUGAGUGCAGAAGAGGAAAGUGGAAUUCCAUGUGUAGCGGUGAAAUGCGCAGAGAUAUGGAGGAAUACCAGUGGCGAAGGCGACUUUCUGGUCUGUAACUGACGCUGAUGUGCGAAAGCGUGGGGAUCAAACAGGAUUAGAUACCCUGGUAGUCCACGCCGUAAACGAUGAGUGCUAAGUGUUAGGGGGUUUCCGCCCCUUAGUGCUGCAGCUAACGCAUUAAGCACUCCGCCUGGGGAGUACGACCGCAAGGUUGAAACUCAAAGGAAUUGACGGGGACCCGCACAAGCGGUGGAGCAUGUGGUUUAAUUCGAAGCAACGCGAAGAACCUUACCAAAUCUUGACAUCCUUUGAAAACUCUAGAGAUAGAGCCUUCCCCUUCGGGGGACAAAGUGACAGGUGGUGCAUGGUUGUCGUCAGCUCGUGUCGUGAGAUGUUGGGUUAAGUCCCGCAACGAGCGCAACCCUUAAGCUUAGUUGCCAUCAUUAAGUUGGGCACUCUAGGUUGACUGCCGGUGACAAACCGGAGGAAGGUGGGGAUGACGUCAAAUCAUCAUGCCCCUUAUGAUUUGGGCUACACACGUGCUACAAUGGACAAUACAAAGGGCAGCUAAACCGCGAGGUCAUGCAAAUCCCAUAAAGUUGUUCUCAGUUCGGAUUGUAGUCUGCAACUCGACUACAUGAAGCUGGAAUCGCUAGUAAUCGUAGAUCAGCAUGCUACGGUGAAUACGUUCCCGGGUCU